AAAAAUGUGUCAUUGUUUUUGAAAUUGGAACAAACACUUUGUGAUUUCUUUGGAAUUCUGUGGUCCAGUCCUCCCACUCCCAUCAACAGCUG
ensembl:ncRNA K03C7.12 ncRNA